rnacentral:tRNA from 1 species
GUGGCAAUAGCUCAGUUGGUUAGAGCGCCUCUCUGUGGAAGAGGAGGUCGUGGGUUCGAGUCCCAUUUGCCACCCCA